rnacentral:piRNA from 1 species
UUUGUCAAGAUAGAAGAUAGU